GACGAACGCUGGCGGUGUGCUUAGCACAUGCAAGUCGAACGGUAAGGCCCUUUCGGGGGUACACGAGUGGCGAACGGGUGAGUAACACGUGAGUAACCUGCCCUCAUCUCUGGGAUAACAGUCGGAAACGGUUGCUAAUACUGGAUAUGAGCUUGCAAGGCAUCUUGUGGGUUGGAAAGAUUUUUUUGGUUGGGGAUGGACUCGCGGCCUAUCAGCUUGUUGGUGAGGUAGUGGCUCACCAAGGCUUCGACGGGUAGCCGGCCUGAGAGGGCGACCGGCCACAUUGGGACUGAGAUACGGCCCAAACUCCUACGGGAGGCAGCAGUGGGGAAUAUUGCACAAUGGACGGAAGUCUGAUGCAGCAACGCCGCGUGCGGGAUGACGGCCUUCGGGUUGUAAACCGCUUUCAAUUGUGACGAAGCUUUUUGUGACGGUAGCAGUAGAAGAAGCACCGGCUAACUACGUG
rnacentral:rRNA from 1 species